rnacentral:lncRNA from 1 species
AUUACAAUGACAUUAAUUUAUUGAUUCAUUUAUUUAUUUUUAAACAAUUGAUUAAUGGCUAGUUAAAAUUUGAAGGACUAUAAGAGUAUUAUUUAUCUAUAUUAUUUGUUGUUAUACCAUAUAAAGGCUUUAUUUUAAGUUUGUCUUAUAAAAUUUAUUAAGAAUAUCCUCUAUUUAAUUAACUUCUUCACAAAUUGUAUUACUUAUGCCAAAAUCAUAAGUUAUAUUUUUCUUCUUUUUAGUAUAAGAUCCUAGUUUUAAUUUACUUAUUUUAAUACUUUUAGUUUAUUAAAUUAAAAAUAAAAUAAAAAUAUAAAAUUAUUCAAAAUUUUUAAAUAAUUUAUUUUCUUUAUUGUAAUAGAAAACAAAUUAUGCUAUGAAUUUCCAAUAUUAAUAGGAAUUUGUAGUAACUAAAUGUGUAUAGAAAUAAAGUGUCAUAUUUAUAAAUGGUUGUCAAACUUUGCCAUUAGAUAUUAUUACUAAAAAUUAUAUAUAAUUCUUUAAAAAUUAAUAAAUUUAUAUAAUUAUAUAUAUAUAUAUAUACACACACAUUUACAUAUAAUAAAAAGUAUCAUAAACUUCUUGUAUAAUUACUUUAUCUCAGCGUAUACAUGGAUGUUACAGCCAUUUACUUCUACACUCUUUAAAACAUUUUAAUUUAUUCUUAUUAUUUUCAAAAAAAAUCUAAUAUAUUACAAUUUUUCAUAAUAGAAAUUGUAAAGUCUUGGAUUAUAUGUUAUAAUUUAGAACCUCCUUAAAGAGUUUGUACUAGAAUCUUAAGAAAUUAAUUAUAUUUGUACACCUCAAGCCAUUUGCAGUAAUAUAACACAUUCUUGUUACCUAGUUCAUGAUAAUAUUAAUUUUCGUAAAUUAAGUCAUUAAUGAAUAAUUAUAUUUUUUUGAUAAUAGCCUUGUUAUAAUUUGGCAUAAUUAUUUAAUUGAUUUCAAAGUUUUGAUUUAGAUUUCUUUUUCUUUUCCAAUGUUUUCAAUUCCAUGCUCAAUUUUAAAAACAACUGAAAAAGAACGGUGAUCACUAAUUGCUAGUUCCAUUAUUCAAGAUCAAUUUGGCCAUCAAAAAGUAAAAUCAAAUGAAUGAAUGAUAGCUCUUGUUCUAUUCUGCAAUCAUGAAUGGUUCUUUCCACAACUUUUUAGACAAACCAGAACAACCACUAUAAAUACACACCCACGAACUCACAUACAAACUAAUAAAUGAAUAUAGGUACAUACAUACAUAUAUAUAUAUAAAACUGGGUUCCUCAUUUGACUAAGGAAUAUGGUGAGUGCUGCCUGAGAUGAAAGCUGGGAGCCACCCAUGUGGACAUGGCCUACUUGCUCUAUUGAAUGCACAGUCAGACCUCCCCACCCCUCAUCAUCCUGCAAUACCUUUGUUUCCAAUCCGUUCCCUGGCACCGCAUAAU